GACGAACGCUGGCGGCGUGCUUAACACAUGCAAGUCGAACGGUGAACCAGGGCUUGCCCUGGGGAUCAGUGGCGAACGGGUGAGUAACACGUGGGCAACCUGCCCCAGACUCUGGGAUAACUCCGGGAAACCGGGGCUAAUACCGGAUACGAACCGAGACGGCAUCGUCUUGGUUGGAAAGUUUUUCGGUCUGGGAUGGGCCCGCGGCCUAUCAGCUUGUUGGUGGGGUAAUGGCCUACCAAGGCGACGACGGGUAGCCGGCCUGAGAGGGCGAACGGCCACACUGGGACUGAGACACGGCCCAGACUCCUACGGGAGGCAGCAGUGGGGAAUAUUGCGCAAUGGGCGAAAGCCUGACGCAGCGACGCCGCGUGAGGGACGACGGCCUUCGGGCUGUAAACCUCUUUCAGCAGGGAUGAAGCGAAAGUGACAGUACCUGCAGAAGAAGCACCGGCUAACUACGUGCCAGCAGCCGCGGUAAUAC
rnacentral:rRNA from 1 species